rnacentral:rRNA from 1 species
CCUACGGGAGGCAGCAGUGGGGAAUAUUGGACAAUGGGCGCAAGCCUGAUCCAGCCAUGCCGCGUGAGUGAUGAAGGCCCUAGGGUUGUAAAGCUCUUUCACCGGUGAAGAUAAUGACGGUAACCGGAGAAGAAGCCCCGGCUAACUUCGUGCCAGCAGCCGCGGUAAUACGAAGGGGGCUAGCGUUGUUCGGAAUUACUGGGCGUAAAGCGCACGUAGGCGGGUAUUUAAGUCAGGGGUGAAAUCCCAGAGCUCAACUCUGGAACUGCCUUUGAUACUGGGUACCUGGAGUAUGGAAGAGGUAAGUGGAAUUCCGAGUGUAGAGGUGAAAUUCGUAGAUAUUCGGAGGAACACCAGUGGCGAAGGCGGCUUACUGGUCCAUUACUGAC